UGGCUCAGGACGAACGCUGGCGGCGUGCCUAAUACAUGCAAGUCGAGCGAAUGACGAGGAGCUUGCUCCUUGAUUUAGCGGCGGACGGGUGAGUAACACGUGGGUAACCUACCCUAUAGACUGGGAUAACUUCGGGAAACCGGAGCUAAUACCGGAUAAUACUUUUGAACACAUGUUCGAAAGUUGAAAGAUGGUUUCGGCUAUCACUAUAGGAUGGACCCGCGGCGCAUUAGCUAGUUGGUGGGGGUAAUGGCUCACCAAGGCAACGAUGCGUAGCCGACCUGAGAGGGUGAUCGGCCACACUGGGACUGAGACACGGCCCAGACUCCUACGGGAGGCAGCAGUAGGGAAUCUUCCACAAUGGACGAAAGUCUGAUGGAGCAACGCCGCCGUGAGUGAAGAAGGAUUUCGGUUCGUAAAACUCUGUUGCAAGGGAAGAACAAGUAGCGUAGUAACUGGCGCUACCUUGACGGUACCUUGUUAGAAAGCCACGGCUAACUACGUGCCAGCCGCCGC
rnacentral:rRNA from 1 species